AAAUAAAAAUUUUUGUUUUUUCUAAAAAUUCUAGCGUUAACUUCAAAAUUUCUUGUUGUAUCAAUCUUGGUCGUAUUGGACACUAGGACACUUGGACAUUAAAAUGUAGCAUCCAAAUAAUUAUAACAAUUAAGUUUGUUAUAUAUAUUAUAUUUCUGUUGAUUUGAACACAUCUCACAUCAUCACAAAUUUUAAAAAUAAGGAGGCACCAUUCUAUCCAUCCGUGCCAAAAGAAUAGGAAAACUAUACCUCAAUUUUAAACCAUAUAUAAACUUUCAUAUAAACUAAGUUAAGAAAGAGCAUUUCGAUUUAAGAUUCUUUCUCUAUAAAAUUUCUUUACACUGGAUAAAAAUUUCCACAUAUUAUUAAAAUGGAGUGAAGUUAAGGAUACGUGUUGUUUCAUCAUUUAUUAUAAUAUUAGAAAGAUUAACUAAAACGAAAACUAUUAGAACUAUUAUGCUUUUAACCUUAUCAAAAUCUUAUAUCCACUUCUUUUUAAACUUUUUUCAAGGAGGCACCAUCCAAUCCAUCCGUGGCAAAAAAAUAUGUUAGGAAAACUAUGUCUCAAUUUUAAACCAUAUAUAAACUUUCAUAUAAACUAAGUUAAGAAAGAGAUUCUUUCUCUAUAAAAUUUCUUUACACUGGAUAAAAAUUUCCACAUAUUAAAAUGGAGUGAAGUUAAGGAUACGUGUUGUUUCAUUAUACACUACUAUAGAUAAUGAUUCCUUCGACUUCGUAAAUUUUUAUAAUACACAUUUCAUUUAUAAAAAUCUUACUAUAUAUCCUUAUCUUAUGCAAGUUGCUUUGGUUAACAGUACUAUAUUAAUGUAUAAUAUUAAUUAUUUAAUAAAAGACCAGACUUUUUUUGAAGAGAGUUUCUCUUUUGGUUAUCAACGGAUAUAAUGAAUGAUUGACUGGUGGAAGGAAGCACAUACAAUAUUUAAAAGCAAUUACAAUGAAAGCAUAUACCUAUAUACAUGUAUAUAUACAUGUGUGAAAAUUUAUAGUACAAAUCUAUAAUGAAAAAAUAACCCCAAAAGAAUUACUUUAAUUAAAACUCUCAAGUGGAUCAAAGUAAAUCUGUUGAAAUCAAUUAAGCAUAUCACUUAAGAUAUGUAUACCUGAUGAUUUUACAGGAUUUAUUUAAGCGAUCUUUUAUGGGAUCAUUACUUAAUUUGUGUUAAUUAACUAAUUAAUAUUAGUUUCAUUUGAUCAUGAUAAAAACUUUCUGAAAAAUAAAUUU